rnacentral:rRNA from 1 species
GGCGGACGGGUGAGUAACGCGUAGGAAUCUACCUAGUAGUGGGGGAUAGCCAAGGGAAACUUUGGGUAAUACCGCAUACGAUCAAAGGAUGAAAGGGGGCCUCUCUUUGAAGCUCUCGCUAUUAGAUGAGCCUGCGUAAGAUUAGCUUGUUGGUGGGGUAAUGGCCCACCAAGGCGACGAUCUUUAGCUGGUCUGAGAGGAUGAUCAGUCACACUGGAACUGAGACACGGUCCAGACUCCUACGGGAGGCAGCAGUCGGGAAUAUUGGACAAUGGGGGAAACCCUGAUCCAGCCAUGCCGCGUGUGUGAAGAAGGCCCUAGGGUUGUAAAGCACUUUUAGUAGUGAGGAAGGCUCAGUAGUUAAUACCUACUGGGAUUGACGUUAGCUACAGAAAAAGCACCGGCUAAUUUCGUGCCAGCAGCCGCGGUAAUACGAAAGGUGCAAGCGUUAAUCGGAAUUACUGGGCGUAAAGCGCGC